CCUACGGGAGGCUGCAGUGGGGAAUAUUGCACAAUGGGUGCAAGCCUGAUGCAGCCAUGCCGCGUGUGUGAAGAAGGCCUUCGGGUUGUAAAGCACUUUCAGCGGGGAGGAAGGCGGUGAGGUUAAUAACCUCAUCGAUUGACGUUACCCGCAGAAGAAGCACCGGCUAACUCCGUGCCAGCAGCCGCGGUAAUACGGAGGGUGCAAGCGUUAAUCGGAAUUACUGGGCGUAAAGCGCACGCAGGCGGUCUGUCAAGUCGGAUGUGAAAUCCCCGGGCUCAACCUGGGAACUGCAUUCGAAACUGGCAGGCUAGAGUCUUGUAGAGGGGGGUAGAAUUCCAGGUGUAGCGGUGAAAUGCGUAGAGAUCUGGAGGAAUACCGGUGGCGAAGGCGGCCCCCUGGACAAAGACUGACGCUCAGGUGCGAAAGCGUGGGGAGCAAACAGGAUUAGAUACCCCGGUAGUC
rnacentral:rRNA from 1 species